UCGGCGGUCCCUCAGGCUCUAGCUUGACCGCCACCUCCGUCUGCUCCUCCGCCAGCGCCGCCAUCUUGCGGCUGAGCCACCUUGCGCCGUCAAGCGUGAUUGCGUUUUCGCCACAUGGAGGGCGGGGAGGAACAUUUCACGACAGCUCUGGUAUGCCAUUUACGGCAGUAGGCGGGGCAAGAAAGAAGGAGAAAAGGAAUAGGAAAGAGAGUAACUUUCAAAAAUGAGUGAAAGAAAGGCAGGAAGUGGGAGUUGACCGCCUAUUACAUUUGCCUGACAUUUACCGUUUAUUGCAGGCCAUCUAUAUUCAGAUGGCUCAACGGAGACUCAAUGAGCUUAAAUAAUUUGCCAAAGUCACACAAGAGAAAGUGCAAGUGUCAGCUUUCGAAUUCUGGUCUCUAACUCAAAAGCAUAUACUGUUUGCAAGAGGAAGGCUUCUGAGAUACUGGGCGGUGAAGACAGCGUCCAGCUUUUCAAUGGG